rnacentral:rRNA from 1 species
AUUGAACGCUGGCGGCAUGCUUUACACAUGCAAGUCGAACGGUAACAGGCCGCAAGGUGCUGACGAGUGGCGAACGGGUGAGUAAUGUAUCGGAACGUGCCCAGUCGUGGGGGAUAACGCAGCGAAAGCUGCGCUAAUACCGCAUACGAUCUAUGGAUGAAAGCGGGGGACCGUAAGGCCUCGCGCGAUUGGAGCGGCCGAUAUCAGAUUAGGUAGUUGGUGAGGUAAAGGCUCACCAAGCCGACGAUCUGUAGCUGGUCUGAGAGGACGACCAGCCACACUGGGACUGAGACACGGCCCAGACUCCUACGGGAGGCAGCAGUGGGGAAUUUUGGACAAUGGGCGCAAGCCUGAUCCAGCAAUGCCGCGUGCAGGAUGAAGGCC